CCCAUCUGAAUAAUCACUGAUGUGAUUUGUACAUUUAAGAUUGUCACAUAGAUUUGGUAGCACUCCCACAAUUUCGUGACUUACGGUUUCUUUCUGCAAAGUUACCUAUAACAUAACUUUUUUAAGCGUUUCGAUUGGAAAUAAAGUAGGAGCAAGUUAUUGCAUUGCUUGCAUUGCAUCAUCAGUUGAGCGGAUGUUGAGCGUCUUCUUCGGUCAAUUUCUACGUAGUAAAUAACGUCGCGUGAUAAGACCAAGGCAGCAAAUUUGCACGAAUUCCCACAAGUUAUAAGCUUGUCAAAAUAUAGAGACGAAACAAUGAUUGGAGACUCUGGCACAGAUUAUCGCAAUGUUUCUGAAGAUGCUUCAACGUGUCGAAGCAAUUCAGUCGGCAAGAGACCGAUCCAUGUUCAGCCCUUUCAAUGGAAACAGAGACCGAGACAAUUCAAUGCUGUAAUUAACCCUCCGAAUAAUAAUGGUGGGUCAAAUUUAUGGCAGAACAGAAAUGCAAAUGGAAAUGAAAAUGGUGGUGUAUCAAGAAAGUGAAAAUUGGCCAGAACUAUUCCGAAUUUAAAGAAUCUGUACAAAUAAAGUUCAAAUAUCGCAUAAAAAUAAUUAAUUAAUAAUCCCAAUUGUUAGCACGGUCAAGAAUGCUAUACCGAAAACGAACAAUAUCAUUUUAUAUAUUUUCCGCAAUAAAUUAAAUUAUUAUUUAUCAUA